UACGUAGGGUCCAAGCGUUAUCCGGAAUCACUGGGCGUAAAGCGUUUGUAGGCGGAAAAUUUUAAGUGAGAUGCGAAAUCUUGUGGCUCAACCAUAUAGACGGUAUCUCAUACUGGGUUUCUAGAAGAUGGCAGAGGCAAGUGGAAUUAGUAGUGUAGCGGUAAAAUGCGUAGAUAUUACUAGGAACACCAAUGGCGAAGGCAGCUUGCUGGGCCAUCCUUGACGCUGAGAAACGAAAGCGUGGGGAGCGAACAGG
rnacentral:rRNA from 1 species